rnacentral:rRNA from 1 species
UAGGGAAUAUUGGACAAUGGGGGCAACCCUGAUCCAGCCAUGCCGCGUGAGUGAAGAAGGCCCUCGGGUUGUAAAGCUCUUUUGUCCGGAAAGAAAAGCUUCGGGUUAAUACCCCGGGGUUCUGACGGUACCGGAAGAAUAAGCACCGGCUAACUUCGUGCCAGCAGCCGCGGUAAUACGAAGGGUGCAAGCGUUACUCGGAAUUACUGGGCGUAAAGCGUGCGUAGGUGGUUGUUUAAGUCUGAUGUGAAAGCCCUGGGCUCAACCAGGGAAUGGCAUUGGAAACUGGGCAGCUAGAGUGCGGUAGAGGGUAGUGGAAUUCCCGGUGAAGCAGUGAAAUGCGUAGAGAUCGGGAGGACCAUCUGUGGCGAAGGCGACUGCCUGGACCAGCACUGACACUGAGGCACGAAAGCGUG